ACAGCAGAACCCUCUCAGUUCUUGUGGUGACAUCCACAAAGCCCCUAUUGCUAAGAAAAGACAUUGCAGGAAAGCCUAGGGAAGCCUACCACAGAUAUCCAUGAGUGUUGGACUUUUCAGACGACAGAAUGUGGAAAGACCAUUCUGCCUCCCCAGGAAGAGAAAGAAGCCACUGCAGGGGGCCAGUAUCAAAGUUGAAGAACAAAGAUGGAAGGUGAAGAGACACUUCUGUUUACAGCAGCAUUCUCUGGACUAACAUACCACAGAACACAUCAAAGCCAGCACUAAUGCCAGCUCUUGAUAUCUGUUGUAACAAAUGAAAUGUGAAAAUACUUUCCUGACUGCUAUCUAAAGCAAAACUUUUGCAAAGCACUUUCAUUUGCUUGAGGAAGAGCUGACCUUUCAAUCUUUCAUAGUUACACUGGUCUUACGCAAAAUAAACAAUGUCCAUAGGAGAAUGAGACUAGCAAUGUUAAUACAUUAUACUAACUACACACUGUGUAACCAAAUCUUUUUCUAGAUA